CACGGUCAGGGUCUAGGUAUAAGCAUUAUACCGUGAAACUGCGAAUGGCUCAUUAAAUCAGUUAUCGUUUAUUUGAUAGUACCUUACUACUUGGAUAACCGUGGUAAUUCUAGAGCUAAUACAUGCUGAAAACCCCAACUUCGGGAGGGGUGUAUUUAUUAGAUAAAAAACCAACGCCCUUCGGGGCUUCUUGGUGAUUCAUGAUAACUUCACGGAUCGCAUGGCCUUGCGCCGGCGACGGUUCAUUCAAAUUUCUGCCCUAUCAACUUUCGAUGGUAAGGUAUUGGCUUACCAUGGUUUCAACGGGUAACGGGGAAUUAGGGUUCGAUUCCGGAGAGGGAGCCUGAGAAACGGCUACCACAUCCAAGGAAGGCAGCAGGCGCGCAAAUUACCCAAUCCCGACACGGGGAGGUAGUGACAAUAAAUACUGAUACAGGGCUCUUUUGGGUCUUGUAAUUGGAAUGAGUACAAUUUAAACCUCUUAACGAGGAACAAUUGGAGGGCAAGUCUGGUGCCAGCAGCCGCGGUAAUUCCAGCUCCAAUAGCGUAUAUUAAAGUUGUUGCAGUUAAAAAGCUCGUAGUUGAAACUUGGGCCUGGCUGGCAGGUCCGCCUCACCGCGUGUACUUGUCCGGCCGGGCCUUUCCUUCUGGAGAACCUCAUGCCCUUCACUGGGUGUGUUGGGGAACCAGGACUUUUACUUUGAAAAAAUUAGAGUGUUCAAAGCAGGCCUUUGCUCGAAUACGUUAGCAUGGAAUAAUAGAAUAGGACGUGCGGUCCUAUUUUGUUGGUUUCUAGGACCGCCGUAAUGAUUAAUAGGGACAGUCGGGGGCAUCAGUAUUCAAUUGUCAGAGGUGAAAUUCUUGGAUUUAUUGAAGACUAACUACUGCGAAAGCAUUUGCCAAGGAUGUUUUCAUUAAUCAGUGAACGAAAGUUAGGGGAUCGAAGACGAUCAGAUACCGUCGUAGUCUUAACCGUAAACUAUGCCGACUAGGGAUCGGGCGAUGUUCUUUUUCUGACUCGCUCGGCACCUUACGAGAAAUCAAAGUUUUUGGGUCUGGGGGAGUAUUGCCAACCGU
rnacentral:rRNA from 1 species